GAGGAUGAAAACGAAGAUGAUGAGUACGAGGAACUGCACUCACACUACAAAUGUUCUAAAAUUCAGGAUAAGAGCAAGCCACCACAGUCACGACGUGAAGCACUCCAUGCUAGUAGAGUUUCUGCAUCAAUAAAGGUUUCCACAGAUAUUUUCUUAAAGAGCACAAGAUAUCCAAACAGGAAAGUUGCCUUAGGCAGAGUACUUAGCCAGGACCCCAAAACCAAAGUUGGAGAUGUUGCUUUAGGCAAAGAAUUUUGGAUGGUGCAUGUUAGUCUGGUAUCUGUGCGCGAUGAACCACUAAUAAGGCCAUAUAACAACUUCAAGGUUCUUGGACAAGUAGGCAAUAAUCCAAUUGCAUGGCCUUCAAGUUGUAUUGAAAAGGUUAACUGAUAACAUGGGAUGAAUAAUAGCGCCGGGAUUGCUAAGGUUGCCUGGCCGAAGUUGGAGCUGUGAGGACUCAUAGAGCAGAGAAGAGUUGUUCUCAGUUAUGAACUUGGAACACUAUGAAGAUGCAAGGGCUUACUGCAUAUGGAUAUUUGUUUUAUUUGGAUCUAGAUUACCGAUGACUAUGAGUCAUAUGUAAAUAUGUUUUUAUCCUACCACUCAAACAUAUAUUAUAUAUGAAACUAUGGAUCAACUUCUUGUAAUGCAAUUAUUGAUUUUUAAUAUAUAUUAUUUUUUCUUC